rnacentral:rRNA from 1 species
GUGAGGAAUUUUCCGCAAUGGGCGAAAGCCUGACGGAGCAAUGCCGCGUGAAGGAUGAAGGCCUAUGGGUUGUAAACUUCUUUUCUUAGAGAAGAAUAUUGACGGUAUCUGAGGAAUAAGCAUCGGCUAACUCUGUGCCAGCAGCCGCGGUAAGACAGAGGAUGCAAGCGUUAUCCGGACUGAUUGGGCGUAAAGCGUCUGUAGGUGGCUUCAAAAGUCUCCUGUCAAAGAUCAGGGCUUAACCCUGGGCCGGCAGGAGAAAAUCUGAGGCUAGAGUUUGGUAGGUGCAGAGAGAAAUCCCGGUGGAGCGGUGAAGUGCGUAGAGAUCGGGAGGAACACCAGAGGCGAAAGCACUCUGCUGCGCCACAACUGACACUGAGAGACGAAAGCGAGGGGAGCAAAAGGGAUUAGAAACCCCAGUAGUCC